GACACACCGAGGUUCUACUGGAAGGCUGAGCAGGAUUUCAGAUCAAUUUUCUAGUCAAGACAUUGCAUCCCAUGCUUCAAGAUGAAACCUGUGGGCUGAACCCAAUCCACUCAGCCUGAGAUAAGGAGAGAACAGACCUCACUUACAUGACCUAGUGACCACCUUCUCCUCUAGGUCACACUGGGAAGAAGGAACCCCUUCCUUGACGGUAUACAAGAAGAGAAUCAGCCCCACUGGAGUUACUGCUGAUUUACAAUAGGGCAAGAAUCCAUCUGGGAGCUUGGCUGGGCUGAUGAGGGAAGUGAUAAAGCAAAGCAGGUGGGGCUGUGCAAUAGGCCAGAGCCCAGGGACCUUCAACACAGCUGUCUGCAUCAGCCUGGCCUUGGGUACCUACCUGUAUUGUCCACCUGGGCAAAGAACUUUAAGUCUCUCUUUUUAAUGAGCAAAAGGAAUGCUUUGCCUUUCAGAAUAACCUGCAAAUGUACAUUACACAGUCAAGGAACGCUCUCAGAUACAGGUGUGAUUCUAAGGACAGAGCAAGGCAAUCACUGCCAUAGAUAAGAAUCAAAUGGCUUUUUCAAAAUCUUACAGACUGUACCACGUAUGAUGAUCCACUGUUUUUUUUUUUUUUAUUUUGCUUCCAUUUCCUGUCACUGCCUUAUUCCAUGGGAAAACUCAGCCUUCAAAAGAGCAGAGCAAAAAAUUCAGCUUCCUGUCCUUGGUUUUCUGUAAAAGUCUUGCAGAACUGACUAAUGUGUUUCAAAUUCAGCAGUUAAAAGGGGAGAGGGCACUGCUGCAGGCAGGAUGACCUGUAUGUUGCAGCAAGGAUGCUGGCUGGCCAGGACAAAUGUCAUGUCUAAUCCAACCACACCGCAUGUAAAGACCCGAACUUAAAUUCACCUGAGCACUUGGGGUUCAGAGAAUGGGCCAGCUCCACACCAAGUCCAGACUGCAGUUCAGGACACUGAGAUACUAAGGGUAACCCAUUCAGGAAAGGCAAACAGCUACACCAGGUAUGCAGGCCUUCCAGAUGCUUCCAGUAGAAUGAACAACUCACUAC